CUGAUCCAGCAAUGCCGCGUGCAGGAUGAAGGCCCUCGGGUUGUAAACUGCUUUUGUCCGGAACGAAAAGCUUCUGGUUAAUACCUGGGAGUCAUGACGGUACCGUAAGAAUAAGCACCGGCUAACUACGUGCCAGCCGCCGCGGUAAU
rnacentral:rRNA from 1 species